ACCUGAUUUCCAUGCCGAACUCAGAAGUGAAACGAAAUAGCGCCGAUGGUAGUGUGGGGCUUCCCCAUGUGAGAGUAGGACAUCGCCAGGC
rnacentral:rRNA from 1 species